GUCAAUGGCUCAGUUGCUAGAGCAACAUGAGAUUCUUAAUCUCAGGGACAUGGGUUCAAGACCCACGUUGGACA